AUAAAUAAAGAACAAUUUUCCAAGAGAAAAAAUGACACACUGGAUCCUGAACUGUUUGUUGAAUGUACAGAGUGCGGAAGAAAGAUGCAUCAGAUCUGUGUCCUUCACCAUGAGAUCAUCUGGCCCGCUGGAUUCGUCUGUGAUGGCUGUUUAAAGAAAAGUGCACGAACUAGGAAAGAAAAUAAGUUUUCUGCUAAAAGGUUGCCAUCUACCAGACUUGGCACCUUUCUAGAGAAUCGUGUGAAUGACUUUCUGAGGCGACAGAAUCACCCUGAGUCAGGAGAGGUCACUGUUAGAGUAGUUCAUGCUUCUGACAAAACCGUGGAAGUAAAACCAGGCAUGAAAGCAAGGUUUGUGGACAGUGGAGAGAUGGCAGAAUCCUUUCCGUACCGAACCAAAGCCCUCUUUGCCUUUGAAGAAAUUGAUGGCGUUGACCUAUGCUUCUUUGGCAUGCAUGUUCAAGAGUAUGGCUCUGACUGCCCUCCACCCAACCAGAGGCACUGCUAGUUACUACAAAUAGAAGGAAACCACAGGCUCAUUGAAC
rnacentral:sRNA from 1 species